rnacentral:rRNA from 1 species
GUACAAUUUAAACCCAUUAACGAGGAUCAAUUGGAGGGCAAGUCUGGUGCCAGCAGCCGCGGUAAUACCAGCUCCAAUAGCGUAUAUUAAUGUUGCUGCAGUUAAAAAGCUCGUAGUUGGAUUUCUGACCAGGAGCGCCUGGCCCGUGGUUUAACGACCAUGAGCGCCGGAUGCGCUUCGGUCAUCUGUCUAGUUGCCACAACUGCCCUUUAUUGGGUUGGUUGUUUGGUGCCUGGACCAUUUACUUUGAAGAAAAUAGAGUGUUCAAAGCAGGCGUUUCGCUAUGAAUACUUCAGCAUGGAAUAAUAAGAUAGGACUUUGGUUUUAUUUUGUUGGUUUCUAAAACUAAAGUAAUGAUUGAUAGGGACGGUUGGGGGUGCUAGUAUUUAAUGGCCAGAGGUGAAAUUCUUGGAUUCAUUAAAGACUAACUUAGGCGAAAGCAUUCACCAAGGACGUUCUCUUUAAUCAAGAACGAAAGUUGGGGGAUCGAAGACGAUCAGAUACCGUCGUAGUCUCAACCAUAAACUAUGCCGACUAGGGAUUGGUGGACGUCGUUUUCCGACUUCAUCAGGACCUUAUGAGAAAUCAAAGUCUUUGGGUUCCGGGGGGAGUAUGGUCGCAAGGCUGAAACUUAAAGGAAUUGACGGAAGGGCACCACCAGGAGUGGAGCCUGCGGCUUAAUUUGACGCAACACGGGAAAACUUACCAGGUCCAGACAUAGUGAGGAUUGACAGAUUGAAGAUCUUUCUUGAUUCUAUGGGUGGUGGUGCAUGGCCGUUCUUAGUUGGUGGAGUGAUUUGUCUGGUUAAUUCCGUUAACGAACGAGACCUCGACCUGCUAAAUAGUUUGCAUCAUCUUUUGAUGGUGUAUCAACUUCUUAGAGGACUAUCGGUGUGUAGCCGAUGGAAGUUCGAGGCAAUAACAGGUCUGUGAUGCCCUUAGAUGUUCUGGGCCACACGCGCGCUACAAUGACGCAUUCAACGAGUUUUUUUUACCUCGAUCGAGAGAUCCGGGAAAUCUUUUGAACGUGCGUCGUGCUGGGGAUAGAUUAUUGCAAUUAUUAAUCUUCAACGAGGAAUUCCUAGUAAACGCAAGUCAUCAGCUUGCAUUGAUUACGUCCCUGCCCUUUGUACACACCGCCCGUCGCUCCUACCGAUUGGAUGGUCCGGUGAACUUCAGGGAUCGAGAUUUGAGUGGGGUUUCUCAUUCUAAUCUUGAGAACCGACGUAAACCUUAUCAUCUAGAGGAAGGA